rnacentral:rRNA from 1 species
GCAAACAGGAUUAGAUACCCUGGUAGUCCACGCUGUAAACGAUGGGAACUAGGUGUAGCGGGUAUUGAUCCCUGCUGUGCCGAAGCUAACGCAUUAAGUUCCCCGCCUGGGGAGUACGGUCGCAAGGCUAAAAACUCAAAGGAAUUGACGGGGGGCCCGCACAAGCGGUGGAGCAUGUGGUUCAAUUCGAUGCAACGCGAAAAACCUUACCUGGGUUUGACAUCCUUUGACAGUCCCUGAAAGGGGAUCUUCCCGAUUUAUCGGGACAAAGUGACAGGUGCUGCAUGGCUGUCGUCAGCUCGUGUCGUGAGAUGUUGGGUUAAGUCCCGCAACGAGCGCAACCCUUGUUAUUAGUUGCCAAUAUUAAGUUAGGCACUCUAAUGAUACUGCCCCGGUUAACGGGGAGGAAGGUGGGGAUGACGUCAAGUCCUCAUGGCCUUUAUACCCAGGGCUACACACGUGCUACAAUGGGCUAUACAAAGGGCUGCCACUCUGCAAAGAGGAGCUAAUCCCAAAAAGUAGUCCUAAGUUCGGAUUGGAGUCUGCAACUCGACUCCAUGAAGCUGGAAUCGCUAGUAACCGUGGAUCAGCAUGCCACGGUGAAUUCGUUCCCGGGCCUUGUACACACCGCCCGUCACACCACGAAAGUUGGUUGUACCAGAAGUUGUUAGGCUAACCCCCGAGCUUGUCGACGGGGAGGCAGACACCUAAGGUAUGGCUGAUGAUUGGGGUGAAGUCGUAACAAGGUAGCCGUAGAGGAAUCUGUGGCUG